rnacentral:tRNA from 1 species
GCCCGAGUGGUGAAAUGGCAGACACGGUGGACUCAAAAUCCAUUGCUUGAAAGGGCGUGCGGGUUCGAAUCCCGCCUCGGGCA